rnacentral:rRNA from 1 species
GGUCACUGCUAUCGGUGUUCGUCUAAGCCAUGCGAGUCAUAUGUUCUUCGGAACAUGGCGUACUGCUCAGUAACACGUGGAUAACCUGCCCUUGGGUCUGGCAUAACUCCGGGAAACUGGGGAUAAUACCGGAUAACGCAUAUCUGCUGGAAUUCUUUAUGCGUGAAAUGGAUUCGUCUGCCCAAGGAUGGGUCUGCGGCCUAUCAGGUAGUAGUGGGUGUAAUGUACCUACUAGCCGACGACGGGUACGGGUUGUGAGAGCAAGAGCCCGGAGAUGGAUUCUGAGACAUGAAUCCAGGCCCUACGGGGCGCAGCAGGCGCGAAAACUUUACAAUGCGGGAAACCGUGAUAAGGGGACACCGAGUGCCAGCAUCCUAUGCUGGCUGUCCGGGUGUGUAAAAUACACCUGUUAGCAAGGGCCGGGCAAGACCGGUGCCAGCCGCCGCGGUAACACCGGCGGCCCGAGUGGUGAUCGUGAUUAUUGGGUCUAAAGGGUCCGUAGCCGGUUUGGUCAGUCCUCCGGGAAAUCUGACAGCUUAACUGUUAGGCUUUCGGAGGAUACUGCCAGACUUGGAACCGGGAGAGGUAAGAGGUACUACAGGGGUAGGAGUGAAAUCUUGUAAUCCCUGUGGGACCACCUGUGGCGAAGGCGUCUUACCAGAACGGGUUCGACGGUGAGGGACGAAAGCUGGGGGCACGAACCGGAUUAGAUACCCGGGUAGUCCCAGCCGUAAACGAUGCUCGCUAGGUGUCAGGCGUGGCGCGACCGUGUCUGGUGCCGCAGGGAAGCCGUGAAGCGAGCCACCUGGGAAGUACGGCCGCAAGGCUGAAACUUAA